UGGGGCUGAGGUAGUAGAUUGAAUAGUUGUGGGGUUUUUGUACUCCCUCUGAGAUAACUAUACAAUCUACUGUCUUUCCUAA
rfam:Lepisosteus oculatus linkage group LG3, whole genome shotgun sequence.